AGAACUUUGAAGACUGAAGUGGAGAAAGGUUCCAUGUGAACAGCACUUGGACAUGGGUGAGUCGGUCCUAAGCGAUGAGCUAAUGCUGUAUGAAGGCCGCGCUCUGCGGCGUCCAGCGAAAGGGAAUCGGGUUAAAAUUCCCGAACUGGGACUAGGCUGCGGGCGGCGACGCAACCGAGCCGGGCGACGCCGGCGGGAGGUCCGGGAAGAGUUGUCUUUUCUUUUUAACAUGCAUGC
rnacentral:rRNA from 1 species